rnacentral:rRNA from 1 species
UGGUCAGUAGGUUGGUCGUGCCACCGGUACGUACUGGUCUCACUGAUUCCUCCCUCCUGAAGAACCGUAAUGCCAUUAAUUUGGUGUUGCGGGGAAACAGGACUGUUACUUUGAAAAAAUUAGAGUGUUUAAAACAAGCUAACGCUUGAAUACAUUAGCAUGGAAUAAUGAAAUAGGACGAUCGAUCCUAUUUUGUUGGUUUCUAGGAUCGACGUA